rnacentral:rRNA from 1 species
CCCAGACUCCUACGGGAGGCAGCAGUGGGGAAUAUUGCACAAUGGGGGGAACCCUGAUGCAGCGACGCCGCGUGAGUGAAGAAGUCUUUCGGUAUGUAAAGCUCUGUCAGCAGGGAAGAAGAAAGACGGUACCUGACCAAGAAGCCCCGGCUAACUACGUGCCAGCAGCCGCGGUAAUACGUAGGGGGCAAGCGUUAUCCGGAUUUACUGGGUGUAAAGGGGGCGCAGACGGCGAUGCAAGCCAGGAGUGAAAGCCCGGGGCCCAACCCCGGGACUGCUCUUGGAACUGCGUGGCUGGAGUGCAGGAGGGGCAGGCGGAAUUCCUGGUGUAGCGGUGAAAUGCGUAGAUAUCAGGAGGAACACCGGUGGCGAAGGCGGCCUGCUGGACUGCAACUGACGUUGAGGCCCGAAAGCGUGGGGAGCAAACAGGAUUAGAUACCCUGGUACA